GCUGCCAAUCAGCAGCAGGGAUAUCAACACAAUCCUCAGCAGAUGCAGCAACAGCAACACCAGGCACUCCCUCAGCAAAUGCCUCCUUUGCCAAUGCCUCCAAAUAUGCAGCAGCUUCAGCCACCAUCACAUUUACCCAUGCUUCCUCAUCCCCAUCUACCUCGCCCUCCACAAGUGCCUCAUGGUAUGCCUUCACCAAUUCCAUCUUCUAUGCCAGGAUCCUUGCCUG
rnacentral:misc_RNA from 1 species